rnacentral:rRNA from 1 species
GACGUAGGGGGCGAACGUUAUCCGGAAUCAUUGGGCGUAAAGGGUGCGUAGAUGGCAUGAUAAGUUAUUAGUGGGAAAUCGAGGCUCAACCUCGUGGAAGCUAGUAAUACUGUUUUGCUUGAGUACAGAAGAGGUUAACGGAACUCCAUGUGGAGCGGUAAAAUGCGUAGAUAUAUGGAAGAACACCAAUAACGGCGAAGGCAGUUAACUAUUCUGUUACUGACAUUGAGGCACGAAAGCGUGGGGAGCAAAACGG